GGGCCGUGGUGCCCUCAGGACAAUGCCCUCCGCAGGGUCCCCCCCCGCCGGCCCCUCCCUGGGCAAGGGCGGAGCUCGUUCAGCAGGAACCCCGGUGCUGGGACCUGAGCCCAGGGCCACCUGCAUCGCGGCCCAACCUGUCUGGGGCCUCGUCCUCUCUCGUGUACACACAGGAGCUCCUGGCACCCCGGAGGGCAGCCCCCAACCCUGAAACACACAGCGGCAGCGGCCUGACCUCCCCGGCACUCUCUACGUCAUGUGUCUCAGAUGGGGACCUGUGAGUCCCGGAACCUGACUCACGGGUGGUGUGUCUCUCGGGACCAAGUGGAUGUUGAGAUACCAGCCGGACAGCUAUUAUACCAAUGCAGAAAGAAGGAAAUGGUGGCUUGGGUACUAGUGCCGGGGGACGGGGGAGAGGACAUGGUUGCUUGGGCCAAAGGAUGGUGCUGAAGUGGGGAGAAGGGGUCUGAUUCCAGGUAUGUUUUGAAGGUGAAGCCAACAAGAGUUGCUGACAGAUUCAGCGUGGGGAUGAGAGGAAAGGAGAGUCUGGGCUGAGCCCAGGGUCUCGCCUAACUAGCUAGAGGGAUGAGGCCACGCUGACCCAGUGGGGAGUGGGGAAGGGCAGUGCAGGGAGGACAAUGGGGAGUUUGUUCUGAGCAUGUCCUGGCUGAGAUGCCUGCUGGACUUCAAGCUCAAGAAACCUCUUGGAUUUAAAUCUAGAGUUGAGAGGAGAGGUUGUCCUUCAGGGGUCCAUAUGAAAGCUUCAGGUGCUUCCGAGGGAUCCUCUGGCAUGACAGGUCUGAGCCCGUCUUUCCCUCUCCGGCACUGCAGGGCUCCCGCAGUUCUGCUUAGAUUCCUAGCAGCCUCUGCUCAGCCCCUCUGCGCUCACCCUGUGCUGCUUGCAAACAGACACCCUGGACUGUUGGGAUCCUUUCCUCUCCCCGGGAUCUUGUCUCUCCAAGCCCUGGCUGUGUGAGCAGUCCUGCACUCUGAUUCUCGUCUUCCUGCUGGCACGACAGUGUUGAAAGCUCCUCUGAGCUUCUCGGAUUCUCAGCAGACCUCCCUGCUCAGCUUCUCAGCAUCUCUGCUCAUGCCAGUUAUGAGUUUGCGGUUGCCCCAAAGGGUGCAGAAGUUCGGGUCACCUCAACGCGUUUCCCUCCCCCACAAUGUCUUGGGCCUUCAGGUCCUGGCUGCCUUGGUAACUCUCUGACACAUUGAGACACAUGUGGUCAUUUGUUUUCUCCAACCUGGUUGAUGGAAGCCAAAAGUGGACUCCUUUUUAUUUUUUUGUUUUUUGACAGGGUCUUUCUCUUUUGCCCAGGCUGGA
rnacentral:lncRNA from 1 species